rnacentral:rRNA from 1 species
AGUGGCGGACGGGUGAGUAACGCGUGAGAAUCUGCCUUCAGGUCGGGGACAACAGAGGGAAACUUCUGCUAAUCCCGGAUGAGCCUUAGGGUAAAAAAUUUAUUGCCUGGAGGUGAGCUCGCGUCUGAUUAGCUAGUUGGUAAGGUAAAAGCUUACCAAGGCAACGAUCAGUAGCUGGUCUGAGAGGAUGAGCAGCCACACUGGGACUGAGACACGGCCCAGACUCCUACGGGAGGCAGCAGUGGGGAAUUUUCCGCAAUGGGCGAAAGCCUGACGGAGCAAGACCGCGUGGGGGAGGAAGGCUCUAGGGUUGUAAACCCCUUUUCUUUGGGAAGAACAAAAUGACGGUACCAAAGGAAUCAGCCUCGGCUAACUCCGUGCCAGCAGCCGCGGUAAUACGGAGGAGGCAAGCGUUAUCCGGAAUGAUUGGGCGUAAAGCGUCCGCAGGUGGCAAUGUAAGUCUGCUGUCAAAACCCAGGGCUCAACUCUGGUCAGGCAGUGGAAACUACAUAGCUAGAGUUCGGUAGGGGCAAAGGGAAUUCCCGGUGUAGCGGUGAAAUGCGUAGAGAUCGGGAAGAACAUCGGUGGCGAAAGCGCUUUGCUAGACCGAAACUGACACUCAGGGACGAAAGCUAGGGGAGCGAAUGGGAUUAGAUACCCC